CAUUUUGGAGACUUGAAAACCUCAGCUUCACAGGAGUAGGGGUUAUUUGAUUCAUCGUACCUGCAUUUCCAGCUCCUACUAUGAAAAAUAAGAAGCUCACACUACGCAUACAGAAUAUCGCUUGGGAAUCAGUCAAAGUGUGCCUUGGAUUUCCGGAAAAGUGAGGUGACCCAACUCCUCCCAAGCACAGUGGACAAUGAGCUUGAGAAGCCGAUGUGAGAGCCUUGAUGGCUACUGUGGAGUUGGAGAGAGAAGGAUUUCUGGAGUCAGCAUCAGAAGUAAGGAUGAGCUUGAACAACUGAGAGGAUCAGGGUAGGAGGUGGCACUUGAGAUAAGCCUCGAAGGAAACAAAUAUUAAUGAAGAUUCCUGACAACAAAAAUCUUAUUUAUGUUCUUGGGGGAUCACUUGGUGGAAGAAAAACCUGCCCCAAC
rnacentral:lncRNA from 1 species